CCUACGGGUGGCAGCAGUGGGGAAUAUUGGUCAAUGGCCGUAAGGCUGACCCAGCCACGUCGCGUGAGGGAAGAAGGAUCUAUGGUUUGUAAACUUCUUUUAUAGGGGAAUAAAGGUAUCCACGUGUGGAUAUUUGCAUGUACCCUAUGAAUAAGCAUCGGCUAACUCCGUGCCGGCAGCCGCGGUAAUACGGAGGAUGCGAGCGUUAUCCGGAUUUAAUGGGUUUAAAGGGUGCGUAGGUUGUUUGUUAAGUCAGCGGUGAAAGUUGAUGGCUCAACCAGAAAACUGCCGUUGAAACUGGAAGACUUGAGUGUGUUUGAGGUAGGUGGAAUGCGUGGUGUAGCGGUGAAAUGCAUAGAUAUCACGCAGAACUUCGAUUGCGAAGGCAGCUUACUAAGCCAUAACUGACACUGAAGCACGAAAGCGUGGGGAUCAAACAGGAUUAGAUACCCGUGUAGUC
rnacentral:rRNA from 1 species